rnacentral:rRNA from 1 species
AUUGAACGCUGGCGGAAUGCUUUACACAUGCAAGUCGAGCGGCAGCGCGGGGCAACCUGGCGGCGAGCGGCGAACGGGUGAGUAAUACAUCGGAACGUACCCAAUCGUGGGGGAUAACUAUCCGAAAGGAUAGCUAAUACCGCAUAAGUCCUGAGGGAGAAAGCAGGGGAUCGCAAGACCUUGCGCGGAUGGAGCGGCCGAUGUCAGAUUAGCUAGUUGGUGAGGUAAAGGCUCACCAAGGCGACGAUCUGUAGCUGGUCUGAGAGGACGACCAGCCACACUGGAACUGAGACACGGUCCAGACUCCUACGGGAGGCAGCAGUGGGGAAUUUUGGACAAUGGGCGCAAGCCUGAUCCAGCCAUUCCGCGUGAGUGAAGAAGGCCUUCGGGUUGUAAAGCUCUUUCGGCAGGGAAGAAACGGCCAUGGCUAAUAUCCGUGGCUAAUGACGGUACCUGAAGAAGAAGCACCGGCUAACUACGUGCCAGCAGCCGCGGUAAUACGUAGGGUGCGAGCGUUAAUCGGAAUUACUGGGCGUAAAGCGUGCGCAGGCGGUUUUGUAAGACAGAUGUGAAAUCCCCGGGCUCAACCUGGGAACUGCGUUUGUGACUGCAAGACUCGAGUACGGCAGAGGGGGGUGGAAUUCCACGUGUAGCAGUGAAAUGCGUAGAGAUGUGGAGGAACACCGAUGGCGAAGGCAGCCCCCUGGGUCGAUACUGACGCUCAUGCACGAAAGCGUGGGGAGCAAACAGGAUUAGAUACCCUGGUAGUCCACGCCCUAAACGAUGCCAACUAGGUGUUGGGGAAGGAGACUUCCUUAGUACCGAAGCUAACGCGUGAAGUUGGCCGCCUGGGGAGUACGGUCGCAAGAUUAAAACUCAAAGGAAUUGACGGGGACCCGCACAAGCGGUGGAUGAUGUGGAUUAAUUCGAUGCAACGCGAAAAACCUUACCUACCCUUGACAUGCCAGGAACUUGCCAGAGAUGGCUUG